AACGAACGCUGGCGGCAGGCCUAACACAUGCAAGUCGAACGCUCCGCAAGGGGAGUGGCAGACGGGUGAGUAACACGUGGGAACCUACCUCGAGGUGCGGAACAACCAAGGGAAACUUUGGCUAAUACCGCAUGUGCCCUUAGGGGGAAAGAUUUAUCGCCUUGGGAUGGGCCCGCGUCGGAUUAGCUAGUUGGUGUGGUAAUGGCGCACCAAGGCGACGAUCCGUAGCUGGUCUGAGAGGAUGAUCAGCCACACUGGGACUGAGACACGGCCCAGACUCCUACGGGAGGCAGCAGUGGGGAAUAUUGGACAAUGGGCGCAAGCCUGAUCCAGCCAUGCCGCGUGUGUGAUGAAGGCCUUAGGGUUGUAAAGCACUUUCGCCGAUGAAGAUAAUGACUGUAGUCGGAGAAGAAGCCCCGGCUAACUUCGUGCCAGCAGCCGCGGUAAU
rnacentral:rRNA from 1 species